rnacentral:rRNA from 1 species
UACGAAGGGGGCUAGCGUUGCUCGGAAUUACUGGGCGUAAAGGGCGCGUAGGCGGGUUGUUAAGUUAGAGGUGAAAGCCCAGGGCUCAACCCUGGAAUUGCCUUUAAUACUGGCGGCCUUGAGUAUGGCAGAGGUGUGUGGAACUCCGAGUGUAGAGGUGAAAUUCGUAGAUAUUCGGAAGAACACCAGUGGCGAAGGCGACUCACUGGCCCGAUACUGACGCUGAGGCGCGAAAGCGUGGGGAGCAAACAGG